rnacentral:lncRNA from 1 species
UUGUCUGUUUGGCAUAAAUUAUCGUUUUGCUUGUUUGUAUGUGAUUGAUAAUGCUGACUGAGGGAAAAGGAGAAUGAAAGAUUAUGUAAAUGGAAAUUGUAUAAUGUGGUCAGCCUGACUAGAUAUCCUGAGAGAUGGUGGACGGACCGGGUCCGUAGGGAACCCUACCGAGAUUGUGGUCUCCCAUACCGGACGGGGUAUGGAGAUCUUAUGU